GUUUUGCAUGCAUUUACAAGAGGUCAGUUUUGUUUGUAAAGUCUUUCUUGGGACAAUGACUUACUGCAAUUGCCCUAAAAUGAUUUUGGGACUAUUGCAUAGAGUGGAAAAAGGUUGGUGGCAUUCUUUAAAACCUGGUGCUAAGUAUCUUCUGAAUUGUUUUGUAUAGAUUUUUGUAUAGGGUGUUGAAUUUGUGUAUUUUUCAACAAAAUUAUUUUAAGUAAUUCAUUGAAGACAAAUGAGUGUUUGUUGAUGUUUUUUAUGUUGGGGUUUAAAACUGAUGCUUGGUUGUUGAAGUGAUGCAUGAGUAAUUGAAGUUAGAAAAAAUACUAAUUAUGUGCAUAAGACAAUGCGUUAAACAUGAAAUUAGCAGUUAUUACCAACCAACUUUCAAGAACUGAUGUGCAUAAUCAUGAUGAAAAUGAUUACAGCUUUUGUAAAUUAAUCAAUUUCCCAAUCUGCAGGAGAAUGGUCCCUGAGAAGUGGUUUCCUUCAAUGCUUUGGUAAGAUGCACAUAUUCACAUUAACUUCAAGCAAAGCUACAUUUAUCAAUUGAAAAUUCAUAGUAAGAACUAAUAAAGUGUAGCUUAGACUAACUGAGCUCCCUAAAAAAACUAGUUUUAGUUGGACAUGUCAUGAAUGCUUUAAAAUUGACCAAAGAAAUUAAAUUAUAACUGCAUUAGGCUCCAAAAUGAAUAAAAAAUCUGCCAAGUUUGGUCCCCAUUGGAUAGAGCUCUGAGAGGGGUAACAUUUGACAACAUAUAUUUAAUAGUUUAUGGUUUCUAUGAUAACCACUUUUUGAUUUCUUUUCAUUACAAGGAUUGGAAUUUAUAGUGGUUUAAUUAUGUUUCCAGGCUCUAGUGUUGUUAUCAGUUAUCAUCAUCAUCAUCAUGUAUAUUUGAGGUAUUUUUCCCUAUGUUACAAACAUAUCAGGACAUGAUUCUCAUGGAUCCAUUUUUAAAUCAACCCAUCAUUUUUUGUUAAGAAGAGAGUCCAACUUACAAGUUUGCAAAGGUGGUGUUAUUGGUGAGAACUUUUGGGAAUGGACUGGACAAUUGGUUUCCCAUGACAGAACUGCAAUAUCUAGCAACAUUUACAUGUUUAUGUGAAUUAUUUUUCAAAAAACAAAAGAAACCUACUAAAAAUGGUAGUUGCUUUGUGUACAGAUCAACCAAGCGCAUGGUAGCCCACUGGGAAGGUAUUGAACCAUUGAAGUAGUUACGAUUAAGGUCCCUACAUGACAAGAAGUAGAGGAUUAGUGGGUUUUCUAUUUUUUUAUAUCAGAAGUUAAAUCUAGCGUUAUUAUCGUAGUUGUUUUGUUGCUUUGAUUUGGUUAGAUAAUAUUGAAUGAAUGAUAGAUACAACAAAACGUCCCAUGAGUUACAAAUGAAAUAUGGAAUUCUAUAACAGGUUUUGUUUUGCUUACAAUGUUUGAAGGUGGCAAAGCUUUGAAAAGUUUGGCGGCACUUGUCCUGAAAUGUUUUAGGCUUUCAAAGCCCUACAUUGUUUUGUACAGCUAUUUAGAACAACAAAUGAAAGAAGCCUUCAACAGUAGUAACUAAAAAACUAAUACUUACCUAUGUGAUUAGUGGUAGUAGGCAUGGAUUCCUUAUUACCACAACUUUUGUUACAUAUGUCUUCAAUAUCACUUGCAAAUUUACAUAGAUGGAUUAAUAUAUAUAUAUAUAUAUAUAUGAAAUUAAGAUUUUCAUGGAUGUUCAUUUCUUACUUAUAUAUUUGUUAAUUAUCACUCUUGAUGUACAUAUUUGUACACACGUAAAAUUUGUGCUUAUCCAUGUGUUCAUUGUGCCCUUUGUCUUUGAUUAUUUUAAAAUUUAUCAAAAAGGCUCCUGCAAAAAAGAUGCGCCAUUUACCACCACCAAAGAGGGCCUUAAUUGAACCCUACUCAUCCCCAACCGAUACACCUACACCUUCUUCUGAAGGUCAUGGAGCAGAUGGAUCUGGGACUAUUGCACCAUCUUCAUCUUAAACUACUGCGUUGUCAAGAUCUGAGACUAUUACACCAGCUCCGUCUCAAACUAAUGCACCAUCUUCUCAAAGUCAAACAAGUGGUGCAGAUAAUUACAUAUGUUUCAUCUAGCUGAAAUUUAUGUAUUUGUUUAUAUUUUUAAAUUUACAAAUACACUAAUAAUAUUUUCAAUUAGCAUGUGCAUCUUCAUCAAGGUGUGUGCAGGGGCCAAUAGUUGGAAAAGUAACAGAAAAAAGAAUUGCCAACAAUAAUGGAAACAAGCUCUACAUUCCAAUAAUUGAGACAUUCAAUGCAUUGGAAGGUGUGCUAGUGACCCCAAGAUCUAAUGAGAUUGGCAUUCAGGUUAGGAGGAUGUGUUCUAUUCAAGGCGUUAGCAGUUGGACAGUUGCUGAUUCAAUAACAAAAGGGGAUGUUGUACAAGCUAUCCGGGAUAAAUUUGAAAUUGGGGAUGCUUAUGAGGACAAUUCACUGUCUCAGCAAGUUGUGGAAAAGAAGUGUUAUGUAUUACAUAAAGAUUGGAAGUGCAGAAUGAAGAGGAAAUGGGAGAAGCUUGUGAAUGCGAGAGCUGAUCCCUAUGCUCAUCCAUAGAAAGGAGUGAGCCUAGAUGAUUGGAAGUAUUUGAUUGAUCAUGUAUGGUUGGAUCCCAAAAACAAGAGUCGCUAUGAUGCCGGCAAACUUAAUAGAAGCAAGCUACCCUACAAUCACACUAGUGGGUCUCGAUCUUUUCCAGCGGCGAUGAGCAUUGCUGUGAGAUGUAUUUCAUUGAUUUUAUUAACUUUAUCCACACUUAAUAUGUUAUCACAUUAAUGAAGGAGUGUUGAUCUC